UUUGGAGUCUAUGUCAGGUAAGCUAG
rnacentral:piRNA from 1 species